AGGUGGUCGAGGGGUGAGCCGGGAAAGCGGACCGCUGAAGCAGGUGGGGAAAGCGGACCGCUGAAGCAGGCUUGUCCACUCUCCACACAGGAAGCUGCCUUUUCUGCGCUUCACCGGAACACCAUUGCCUCGGUUUCCACUUCUGACAGACACAUUCAAGCAUCAUUUGCUGACUACAACCUGCUCCUAAAGACUGCUAGCUCUGGACUUGCUGCUGAUGUGGACUAGUCCAGCCGACGUGAACACUUCCUGUCUCUUCAAUAGAGUCUGCAAACCAGAUACUUCUGAUAGAUACCCCAUUGCCUGAAUUCCCUUUUUUGCUUUUGACUAGCAUUUCAGCCUUCUUGAACCCCUGACAACAAAAGCCCCAAAGUCAGCCUUAAGCAGUCAUAGAAAAAGAAUACAUUCUCCCUUUUCCCUGAUUAAGAUGCUAAGUCAAAAGGAAACUCCCUUACAUAGGAGACAAAAUGGCAAUAGAUACAAAUGUCACUCCCCUAGAAAAACCUGUCAGCUAAUGGCUUUUAGGGCCUACCCCUUUGAGCCCCUAGCAGGCAGGACCUAUGAUUGGGUCCUGUCACUGGUACUUCUAGAAGGGAGAAAUGAAGGGACCAGACCCUCACCAAGCCCCCUGCUUUGGCAGCCAUAAGAAGCUGCAGAAAAGACCCAGCAAGAUGUAGGCCUCUGACUCAGCAACAUGUGCUGAGCUCCUAGGAAGUCAGAUACCCUCCAUGUGGCAAGGAACCAAUCAGAAGUUAGCUGGUGGGUUCUGGAUGCGCUUUAUGGUAACAGUGGAGUGCAGAGCAUAGCAACUGCCCUGGGAGGACCUAUAGGCCAUGGUAACCGGUUGACCAAUCAACACAAGACAGGUCACCAAAGUCACCAAUCCUAAGACUACUGCGGAUCCCAGACACUUUCCUUGCUCUACCCCAAUAAAUUCCCUGCCCCACAGUCCUUAAUUAAAGACUCCUUGAUUUUCACUGGA